GUCACGAUAGCUCAAGUGGUAGAGCAGCUGCAUAGUUAGCCGUAGGUCGUGGGAUCGAAUCCCGCUCGUGACA
rnacentral:tRNA from 1 species